rnacentral:rRNA from 1 species
GACAGAGGUGCCAAGCGUUAGGCGGAAUCACUGGGCUUAAAGCGUGUGUAGGCGGAUCGUUAAGUACCUUGUGAAAUCCCACGGCUCAACCGUGGAACUGCUGGGUAUACUGGCGGUCUUGAGCCACCUAGGGGCAACUGGAACAAGCGGUGGAGCGGUGAAAUGCGUAGAUAUCGGGAGGAACACCAGUGGCGAAGGCGACUCUCUGGCCUGUAACUGACACUGAGGCGCGAAAGCGUGGGGAGCGAACAGG